rnacentral:lncRNA from 1 species
AGGCGGCAAGGGAGCUCCAAGUCCUCCUCCUCCUCACCACGACGAGGACGCGUUGUGUGGUGGUGGAGCUCUUACCAACCGCCCGAGGGCUUCACACACAAGCUGCUUACGUGCUCAUCCGGACAAAAGACCAUGGACGGUGACCGCUUGUCCCCCCUCCUUGUUCUCUGCAAAUUCCACUUGUGUCGCCACCCUUCGUUCGUUCAUCAGCAGUCAUCCAAACUCUCAUCUUUCUCUCUCUAGCUUGCUCUGCACAUACACUUUGGUGUGCUCAGAAUCUGUGGGGAUCAGUCGAUGCGACCAAACCGUGGACGCAACCAGAGGUGGUACGUAACCGAGACGAGAUCUCGAGCCGACAUGGUGACACGUAGGUCAGCGACACGACACGCCACGCCACGCCACGCGACGCGGGGGGCGGGGAAGGGCCCCACGCGCUCCUCGGCCCCGUAGCUGGAGCCAGCAACUCGUUUGAGUCCACGUCGGCCCGGUCCCACCCGACGUCACGAGGCUUGACCGGGGAGCAGACCGUCGGGCGAGCCGCCGGGUCGGGGUCUCCCCACGCGCCAACCGCCGCGACUAUUCCAGCGGAGAUGAUUUGUGGGUGUGAAGUCUCCUUUGGAUUCUUUGCAUGCUCAAAUUCUUAAGCCCAUCAAUAAUUGUUUGUUCCUAUUUGUUGAUCGAGAGUAGAGGAUUAAAUAAUGCUCAUAUGAAAAUAUGUACAGAUCAGAGGUUUCGUUUGGUUGUCUUGAAGUUUCCAUCGGACUAAAAACUAGAAGAAAAGGUUAGAAUACAGCAGCAAGACUCAUCCUGUCAUGCAAUCAGUAUCUUCGAGCAUUAGAGGUUAUGUUCGGUUGUCGUGAAGUUUCCAUUGGACGAAAACUAGAGAUAAGGUAAGAGAAUACAGCAAGAAUCAUCCUGUCAUGCUGUCUGUUUCUUGCUCCAAGGAGUCUUUCUUCAUGAUUGAUUAUUUUGUUGUUUUGGUAUCAAAUGAUGUACAGUCAAAUGCCCUCAG